rnacentral:rRNA from 1 species
UACGUAGGGUGCAAGCGUUAAUCGGAAUUACUGGGCGUAAAGCGUGCGCAGGCGGUUAUGUAAGUCAGAUGUGAAAUGCCCGGGCUUAACCUGGGAACUGCAUUUGUGACUGCAUGGCUAGAGUGUGUCAGAGGGGGGUAGAAUUCCACGUGUAGCAGUGAAAUGCGUAGAGAUGUGGAGGAAUACCGAUGGCGAAGGCAGCCCCCUGGGCCAAUACUGACGCUCAUGCACGAAAGCGUGGGGAGCAAACAGG